AGCUACUGUUUCAGAAGGAAUUUUUCUCUUCACCAAGUUUCAAUUUCUAAGAUCCUUCUUGAGAUGCUACAACUCAACUAGGAGCUCUGGUGGCUCAGCAGACUAAUAACAUCCACUUACAUCUGCUGCCUGCAAUUACUGCAAGUUCAAAUCUCACCAGGCUCAAGUUGACUCCGCCUUCCAUUCUUUCUAAGGUCUACAGAGGAUGGGGUAAUUAAGGAAAAAUUACUUUUUCAUGGUAUUAUAAUGCAAGAAUCCUAAGAAUGGAAUCUGUUUCAAUUACCACUUUCCAAAAUUGCCCAGGUGUGAGAUCUGCCGUAAACAGCCUUUCUCUAUGUUAGUCAUCAUCAUCAAAUCACAGAAGGAGCUUCUGUUCCCAGCCUCCAGAUGGGGAUUGAAAAAUGGAAAGAAUUCUGAGGCAGAAGACUUGGCUCCAUUCAGUAACAUCGAUUAGAAAACUGCAAAUGUAACAGAGCUAACUUUUCACAUUGUGAAGUAAUAAACAUAUAUCAGCCAAAGAUGAUAAA